rnacentral:rRNA from 1 species
UACGUAGGUGGCGAGCGUUGUCCGGAUUUAUUGGGCGUAAAGGGCGUGUAGGCGGCCUGUUAAGUCGGAGGUGAAAACCCGGGGCUCAACCCCGUGCAUGCCUCUGAUACUGAUGGGCUUGAGUGCUCUAGAGGGCAGUGGAAUUGCCGGUGUAGCAGUGAAAUGCGUAGAGAUCGGCAGGAACACCAGUGGCGAAGGCGACUGCCUGGGGAGUAACUGACGCUGAGGCGCGAAAGCUAGGGGAGCAAACAGG